UGAUUUGCUUUCUUAAUGAGCUUGGGACAUACCAAGAGAGUUUUCCAAUAUUGGAGACAUACCUUGCUCCAGGCAGGAGAUUUAAGGCCUUCUGCCAAUACUUAAGCUUUGUAGAUGGAUCACAUGUGAAGGCUUAUAUAAUUGGAAGGGCUUUAUAUAUCCAUAGACCAUUGGCAUGGGCAAAUCUUAAUGGGAAGAACUAUACCCAGGACUGGGGUGGAAAACGCAUGUUUGUCUCACUGUUCGUUAGGUCUUCAAUCUAAUUAUGUUGGUUAUAAUGCAUACCUCUGGUACAUCUGCGAGAUUGCAUUAAGGUGUCAUUUACUCACUAAUGGUAUAAAAAGGCAGAAGUCUUAGAAGUUGAACAUCACCCCCAAAAAGUUGGAUAAAAUGAUUAUCCAUCUGCGGAGGAUCACACCAGGAUAUAUAAGAUUACUGCAGACCCAAGCAGCUGGGAAAAUAGUGAUCAACACAACAGACAACCUGAUGCAACGGGCAGCUGUGUUCCUGGGCAUGUUUGGAAUAAGUAUGUCUACUUACAGCACCCUUCAGCUCACUCAGAAGAAGAGAUUCCCUUUGACUUUUUAGCCUCACCUGGGAUCUCAGAUAUGAUCCAAAGAACACAUUUACUUCCACCAAAAGAAGAAGUCUGUUCUACAAGACCAAUCUUCCACCUGCAUGACAGUCCCAGGAAUGAUGCCAUCACAAGACACACAUUUCUUAUGCGCAUCAUUUUUAAAUUGCAAAGCUUAAGGGACCGAAGAAGAACUGCACAUAAAUUUUUUCCAGGAGAAAACAAAUGGCCACUAGCUGUGGGAGACAUUUGACUUUACAGCAAGAUGGAGUGCCUGCAGAAUUCAGAUGUGGUGGAUUUCUUUUGCUGUACACAAUACAUACAAAAGGACACCAAUGCCUGAAUGGAUAAUUAAUGUCUGAGCAGUGCAGACAGAUUGAAUUGUGUUCAGUUAGGGCCACCUUGUUACUUGCCUUAGCAAAUAAUUGCUGACAGAAGGACAUUUACCUACAAAGGCUGGUAACGCUUAACAUGGCCUUGCCAAGAGCCAUGACAGAGAAGCUUUAGUGUUACUUUUUUAUGCAUAUUUCGAGUGAUUUGGCUAUAGAUAUAGAAAUGUCAGUGCUCUAAUAAGGAAGACUUCAGGCAACAGGUGUGAAUUUUGCGCAAAGCAGCACUUGCAAUUAAAAAGAAAUGAAUGGGCUUAGACUGUUUUAUAUAUAGACCCCUGUCCAAAGAUUCGUGCACAGUGCUGCUGUUACAGAUUGUCAGACCAUCUGUUUGACAUGGUAUUUGCAGUGCAGGAGCGUGAAAUAUACAUCCCUGAAUGCUUGGAAGAGAGAAAGCACUUCCCUCAUGAGGCAUUGUUUUGCUCCGGCAGCAUAUUUCGCUUACACAGAAACACAGACUUUGAUGUGUAGGUACAACUCCACCAAAAACAUAUGACUGCUAAUAAUGGAGGGGUAUUUUAUAAUAGAAGAUUGUAUUUAAUUUGCACUCUUAGCAUCGAGUUUUCUACAUUAGAAGGACUACAGCGUAUUUGAUCAUUUUCCCUUUGGGUUGCUCAGAGAUCUGACAAUACAUCUUGAUUUCUGCAGGGAACCGAAUUUGCCUUUUCGAUGUGUUCUGUUCACCACAAUAAAGAACAAAGUGUCAACAAACAUUCUUUUACAGGCUGCUCUCUGGUGCAAAGACUGCUUUCAUCAACAAUAUUUUUUCAAAGAACAAAACUAGCAUUGUUUUUUUUCUGAGUUUCUUGUAAAAUAAUGUUUCUCCAUGCAUUGAUUGUCAAACUUAUUUUCUUUGAAAAUUGUAUUUAUGUUCAACCACUGUCGGGCAUCGCACACACUCCCCCGUUAUUGAAUAUGUCCUUCCUUCCUGUUUAUUUAAUACAAUAUUAUAAAUGACAAACAGAUUUAAGAUUGUAAGCGGCAAUGUUAAUUCUUUAGUUUCCAAGAACAAUUUAAUGUAUUCAAACAAAUUAGUCAAUUAGUUUCUGAAGAGGUAUUUCUCUGGAAAAUUACCUAGAGUGCUUAUACUUAUUUCUUUCUCCUUGUAAUAUUGCAUUGUUUAGCAAAACAUUCAUUCUUCAAGCUCUGCUUUCAGGGAAGUAGGAAACAAACUUAAUACAAGUUUAUGGAAUAUUUGGAGAAAUAUAUCAAUAGUGGAUUUAUCUCUUCUUCCAUUGGACAAGUGCUUAUCAUGUCUGUUGCAACAUGUUGUAUUUUAUAACGCUUAAUUUUGUAAAUGGUGCAAUAAUGAAGAUUAAACAAUUGAACAAUCA